AACGCAUUAAGUAUCCCGCCUGGGGAGUACGGUCGCAAGACUGAGACUCAAAGGAAUUGACGGGGACCCGCACAAGCAGCGGAGCAUGUGGUUUAAUUCGAAGCAACGCGAAGAACCUUACCAAGGCUUGACAUCCCUUGACAGCCAUAGAGAUAUGGAUUCCCUUCGGGGCAAGGAGACAGGUGGUGCAUGGUUGUCGUCAGCUCGUGUCGUGAGAUGUUGGGUUAAGUCCCGCAACGAGCGCAACCCUUAUCAUUAGUUGCCAGCACGUAAAGGUGGGAACUCUAAUGAGACUGCCGGGGAUAACUCGGAGGAAGGUGGGGACGACGUCAAAUCAUCAUGCCCCUUAUGUCUUGGGCUACACACGUGCUACAAUGGCCGGUACAAAGAGCAGCGAAGCCGUAAGGCGGAGCGAAUCUCAAAAAACCGGUCCCA
rnacentral:rRNA from 1 species